UGCGGGCUGGUGCAAUCCGGCAGCACGUCCGGCUCUGAACCGGAAGGUUGGAGGUUCGAAUCCUCCGCCCGCAGC
rnacentral:tRNA from 1 species